rnacentral:rRNA from 1 species
GACGAACGCCGGCGGCGUGCUUAACACAUGCAAGUCGAACGGAAAGGCCCUGCUUUUGUGGGGUGCUCGAGUGGCGAACGGGUGAGUAACACGUGAGUAACCUGCCCUUGACUUUGGGAUAACUUCAGGAAACUGGGGCUAAUACCGGAUAGGAGCUCCUGCUGCAUGGUGGGGGUUGGAAAGUUUCGGCGGUUGGGGAUGGACUCGCGGCUUAUCAGCUUGUUGGUGGGGUAGUGGCUUACCAAGGCUUUGACGGGUAGCCGGCCUGAGAGGGUGACCGGCCACAUUGGGACUGAGAUACGGCCCAGACUCCUACGGGAGGCAGCAGUGGGGAAUAUUGCACAAUGGGCGGAAGCCUGAUGCAGCAACGCCGCGUGCGGGAUGACGGCCUUCGGGUUGUAAACCGCUUUCGCCUGUGACGAAGCGUGAGUGACGGUAAUGGGUAAAGAAGCACCGGCUAACUACGUGCCAGCAGCCGCGGCGAUACGUAGGGUGCGAGCGUUGUCCGGAUUUAUUGGGCGUAAAGGGCUCGUAGGUGGUUGAUCGCGUCGGAAGUGUAAUCUAGGGGCUUAACCCUGAGCGUGCUUUCGAUACGGGUUGACUUGAGGAAGGUAGGGGAGAAUGGAAUUCCUGGUGGAGCGGUGGAAUGCGCAGAUAUCAGGAGGAACACCAGUGGCGAAGGCGGUUCUCUGGGCCUUUCCUGACGCUGAGGAGCGAAAGCGUGGGGAGCGAACAGGCUUAGAUACCCUGGUAGUCCACGCUGUAAACGGUGGGUACUAGGUGUGGGGUCCAUUCCACGGGUUCCGUGCCGUAGCUAACGCUUUAAGUACCCCGCCUGGGGAGUACGGCCGCAAGGCUAAAACUCAAAGGAAUUGACGGGGCCCCGCACAAGCGGCGGAGCAUGCGGAUUAAUUCGAUGCAACGCGUAGAACCUUACCUGGGUUUGACAUGGAUCGGGAGUGCUCAGAGAUGGGUGUGCCUCUUUUGGGGUCGGUUCACAGGUGGUGCAUGGCUGUCGUCAGCUCGUGUCGUGAGAUGUUGGGUUAAGUCCCGCAACGAGCGCAACCCUUGUUCACUGUUGCCAGCACGUUAUGGUGGGGACUCAGUGGAGACCGCCGGGGUCAACUCGGAGGAAGGUGGGGAUGACGUCAAGUCAUCAUGCCCCUUAUGUCCAGGGCUUCACGCAUGCUACAAUGGCUGGUACAGAGAGUGGCGAGCCUGUGAGGGUGAGCGAAUCUCGGAAAGCCGGUCUCAGUUCGGAUUGGGGUCUGCAACUCGACCUCAUGAAGUCGGAGUCGCUAGUAAUCGCAGAUCAGCAACGCUGCGGUGAAUACGUUCCCGGGGCU